GACGAACGCUGGCGGCGUGCCUAAUACAUGCAAGUAGAACGCAGUUUCGAACGGGUGAGUAACGCGUAGGUAACUGCCUCAGAGCGGGGGAUAACUAUUGGAAACGAUAGCUAAUACCGCAUACUGUGAGAUGGAACUGCGUUGUAUUAGCUAGUUGGUGAGGUAAAGGCUCACCAAGGCGACGAUACAUAGCCGACCUGAGAGGGUGAACGGCUAAAAUGGUACUGAGACACGGCCCAGAAUCCCACGGGAGGCAGCAGUAGGGAAUCUUCGGAAAAGGGGGGAAGACUGAGUGCGCAACGCCGCGGGAGUGAAGAAGGUUUUCGGAUCGUAAAGCUCUGUUGUUAGGGAAGCGGUACCUAACCAGAAAGGGACGGCUAACUACGUGCCAGCAGCCGCGGUAAUUC
rnacentral:rRNA from 1 species